GUGUCAGCAGCCGCGGUAAGACGAACCGUGCGAACGUUGUUCGGAAUCACUGGGCAUAAAGGGCGCGUAGGCGGGCUUUCAAGUCAGGGGUGAAAUCCUCCAGCUUAACUGGAGAACUGCCCUUGAUACUGGGAAUCUAGAGUAUGGUAGGGGCGUGCGGAACUGAUGGUGGAGCGGUGAAAUGUGUUGAUAUCAUCAGGAACUCCGGUGGCGAAAGCGGCACGCUGGACCAUCACUGACGCUGAGGCGCGAAAGCCAGGGGAGCAAACGGGAUUAGAAACCCCGGUAGUCC
rnacentral:rRNA from 1 species